GAUGCAGAGGAGCGCAGAUGGUGGCAGAGUUCCUGAUAAUGAAACAACAGGUCAUCCCUUGGGCUCAGUGGUCUCCUUCAUCAUGUUACUGGCUGCAGUGGACUUAGGAAUGCGGUGAACACAGGGGAUAGAGAAUGACUCAGAACAGAAAUCUCUACGUCAGUGGGGAGCAGGCGUUUCAUCAGAGUAUCUGAUUGCUUGAAGAUGAUGAAGGAGGGUUUUGGGAUGCAGAAUUUUCUAAAUCCACCUGGAAGCCUGGGAAACUCUCCCUCCACACACAAGGCCCUGCCCCACACACUGCAGCAACCAAUCUGGAAAACCAGACUCCAACCUCUGCAGCAAUAGGACCCAAGGGUCAGGACUUGGUCAGUGACUCACAGCUUCGA